rnacentral:rRNA from 1 species
UUUUAACGGCCGCGGUAUCCUAACCGUGCAAAGGUAGCAUAAUCACUUGUUCCUUAAUUAGGGACUUGUAUGAACGGUUAAAUGAGGGCAAAACUGUCUCCUACAGUUAAUCAAUGAACCUGAUCUUACAGUACAAACGCUGUAAUUUACUUAUAAGACGAGAAGACCCUGUGGAGCUUUAAACUUCUACAUUAAAUUAAAACUAUAUUAUAAUGUAAAAUUUUAAGUUGGGGCGACUGUGGAGUAAAAAAAAACCUCCAUGAAACUCGACUAAUCCUCGUCAUAAAGGCCAACAAGCCUAACAAAAACGUUUGACCCAAUCAUAUUGAAUACCGAACCAAGUUACCCCAGGGAUAACAGCGCCAUCCCCUUAAAGAGUU